UAGCUUUGGCAGCACAUUAUACUAAAAUUGGAAUGAUACAGAGAAGAAGAUUAGCAUGGCCCCUGUGCAAGGAUGACAUGCCAAAAAAAAGAAAGAAAGAAAGAAAGA